GCUAAUAUUAGCCCUACAUGAAUCCAAAAAAAAAUAUUUAAUAAUCAAUCUCAAAACAUUUAAUUAAUCAAGUAUAGGUGAUAGAAAGAUUUGUACAGGCGCUAUAAUGUAAGUACCGUAAGGGAAUAAUGAAAGAAUAACUCAUUUAAAGCAAGAAAAAGCAAAGAUUAACUCUUUUACCUUUUGCAUAAUGGUUUAGCUAGAAAACUCAGACAAAAAGAAUUAUGCCUGAAAUCCCGAAAUUAAGUGAGCUACUAUAAAACAGUCAACAGGACCAACUCGUCUAUGUAGCAAAAUAGUGAGAUGAUUUUAUAGUAGAGGUGAAAGGCCUAACGAACUUAGUGAUAGCUGGUUAUCCAAAACAGAAUCUUAGUUCAACUUUAAAUUUAAUAAAAAUACUUACAAAUUGUACUUAAAUUUAAAAGCUAUUCAAAAGAGGGACAACUCUUUUGACACGUGAACAAACUUAAUUAGAGGGUAAUGAUAUUAAUAAACCAUAGUAGGCCUAAAAGCAGCCACCAAUUAAGAAAGCGUUAAAGCUCAAACUACUCAUUAAUUUAAUACCAAAAAUUCUAACAAAACCCCUAAAAUAAUAUUGGAUGAUCCUAUUCCUUCUAUAGAAGACAUAAUGCUAAAAUCAGUAACAAGAAUUAAUUCUCCCAGCACAAGCUUAAGUUAGAAACGGAAAAUCCACUAACAAUUAACAAAUCAACCAACAUAAAUCAUAACCUAGAUCAUUCUAAUAACAAUUGUUAAUCCAACACAGGUGUGCACUUAAGGAAAGAUUAAAAAGAAUAAAAGGAACUCGGCAAAUAAAAACCCCGCCUGUUUACCAAAAACAUCACCUCUAGCAUAACAAGUAUUAGAGGCACUGCCUGCCCAGUGAGCUUAAACUUCAACGGGCGCGGUAUCCUGACCGUGCAAAGGUAGCAUAAUCACUUGUCUCCUAAAUAGAGACUAGUAUGAAUGGCUUGACGAGGGUUUAACUGUCUCUUAUUCUUAAUCAGUGAAAUUGACCUACCCGUGCAGAGGCGGGUAUAAGCUUAUAAGACGAGAAGACCCUGUGGAGCUUAAGAUCCAUGUCUUACUUUCCCAACAACAAUUUCCUAAUGGAACUAAAAAUACUAACGACUAAGACAUAGACCUUUGGUUGGGGUGACCUCGGAGCACAAAAAAACCUCCGAAUGAUUAUAACCGAGAUUUACUAAUCAAAGUGUGUAAUAAAACCAGUAAUUGACCCAAAUUUUGAUCAACGGAACAAGUUACCCCAGGGAUAACAGCGCAAUCCUAUUUAAGAGCCCAUAUCGACAAUUAGGGUUUACGACCUCGAUGUUGGAUCAGGACAUCCCAAUGGUGCAACCGCUAUUAAAGGUUCGUUUGUUCAACGAUUAAAGUCCUACGUGAUCUGAGUUCAGACCGGAGAAAUCCAGGUCGGUUUCUAUCUAUAUAAUAAUUUCUCCCAGUACGAAAGGACAAGAGAAAUAAGGCCAACAUCAAUUAAUGCGCCUUAAAGAUAAGUUAUGAAUCAUAUCUUAAUAACUAAACUUAAUACUCCUUCUCCUCUAGAAAAGAG
rnacentral:rRNA from 1 species